rnacentral:rRNA from 1 species
CCUACGGGGUGCACCAGUGGGGAAUAUUGCACAAUGGGCGCAAGCCUGAUGCAGCCAUGCCGCGUGUAUGAAGAAGGCCUUCGGGUUGUAAAGUACUUUCAGCGGGGAGGAAGGGAGUAAAGUUAAUACCUUUGCUCAUUGACGUUACCCGCAGAAGAAGCACCGGCUAACUCCGUGCCAGCAGCCGCGGUAAUACGGAGGGUGCAAGCGUUAAUCGGAAUUACUGGGCGUAAAGCGCACGCAGGCGGUUUGUUAAGUCAGAUGUGAAAUCCCCGGGCUCAACCUGGGAACUGCAUCUGAUACUGGCAAGCUAGAGUCUUGUAGAGGGGGGUAGAAUUCCAUGUGUAGCGGUGAAAUGCGUAGAGAUGUGGAGGAAUACCGGUGGCGAAGGCAGCCCCCUGGACAAAGACUGACGCUCAGGUGCGAAAGCGUGGGGAGCAAACAGGAUUAGAUACCCUCGUAGUC